CUCGGCAAAUUGCCUCGGUACUUUCGGAAGAAGGAGGCCCCAUGUAAGCGCAAGCUCUCAUGGGGGGCACAGGCCAGGGGGUAGCGACUGUUUAGCAAAAACACAGGGCUCUGCUAAGUCGGCUUCAAGACGACGUAUAGGGCCUGACGCCUGCCCGGUGCCUGAAGGUUAAGUGGAGGAGUGCAAGCUCUGAAAUGAAGCCCAGGUAAACGGCGGCCGUAACGAUAACGGUCCUAAGGUAGCGAAAU
rnacentral:rRNA from 11 species